AAAAAAACGCAAUACAAUAUUACAGAUAUAGAAAUUCCAAGACAAGAAUUAUUGCUUCUGUUUAUACUUCACUUUACAAACCCCUAUUUUUCUAUCUAUCUACCAACAUUAAAAAAAAAAAUGGAAUAGUGUAUGUGUGUGAAGAAAAUCUGCAGAUAUCCCUUAAGCAUGCUCAAGCAUGCUCAGCCAUCUAUUGACAUUUUUUCUUUGACUCCAGCUCCACGCCUUUGAA
rnacentral:lncRNA from 1 species